GUCUUUGUAGUAUAUUAAAUACGCUGGUCUUGUAAACCAAUAAAGGAGAACAACUAAUCUCCCCAAGACU
rnacentral:tRNA from 1 species